GGGGCUAUAGCUCAAUUUGGGAGAGCACAUGCUUUGCAAGCAUGAGGUUACCGGUUCGAGGCCGGUUGGCUCCA
rnacentral:tRNA from 1 species